rnacentral:rRNA from 1 species
UUAAGCUACAAAGGGCAUAUGGUGGAUGCCUAGGCGUUCCGAGCCGAUGAAGGACGCGAUAAGCUGCGAUAAGUCAUGGGGAGCCGCAAGUAGGCUUUGAUCCAUGGAUCUCCAAAUGGGGCAACCCGAUACGAGUCAUGUCGUAUCAUCCAUGUGUGACAUGGAAGGCACACCCGGUGAACUGAAACAUCUAAGUAGCCGGAGGAAGAGUAAUCAAACGAGAUUCCCUCAGUAGCGGCGAGCGAACAGGGAAGAGCCCAAACCGGACGUCUUCGGACGACCGGGGUUGAGGACCAGCAUCAAGGGAAGGCAAGAUAGUCGAACAGUCUGGGAAGGCUGAGCACAGACGGUGAAACUCCGGUAGACGAAAUCUUACCCAACGGGCUGGUAUCCAGAGUACCACGAGACACGUGAAACCUUGUGGGAAGCAGGGUGGACCACCAUCCAAGGCAAAAUACUACGGAACGACCGAUAGCGCAUAGUACCGUGAGGGAAAGGUGAAAAGAACCGCGGGAGCGGAGUGAAAUAGAACCUGAAACCGUAUGUCUACAAGCAGUCGAAGCACUUUAUAUGUGCGACGGCGUGCCUAUUGAAGAAUGAACCGGCGAGUUAAUUUCAGAGGCGAGGUUAAGCGGGAGACGCGGAGCCGAAGCGAGAGCGAGUCUGAAUAGGGCGCAAGUCUCUGGGAUUAGACCCGAAACCACAGUGAUCUAUGCAUGGCCAGGUUGAAGCUCAGGUAAAAAUGAGUGGAGGACCGAACCCGUGAGUGUUGAAAAACUUUGGGAUGAGCUGUGCAUAGGGGUGAAAUGCCAAUCGAACGUGGAGAUAGCUGGUUCUCCCCGAAAUAGCUUUAGGGCUAGCCUCAGGUAACACAUGGAGACGGUAGAGCACUGAUCGGGUAAGGGAGCGUAAAGCUUACCGAGCCUAGUCAAACUGCGAAUGGCUUCAUGAGAAGAGCCUGGGAGUCAGAAUGCGAGUGAUAAGACCCGUAUUCAAAAGGGAAACAGCCCAGAUCGCCGACUAAGGUCCCAAAUGCUGUACUAAGUGGAAAAGGAUGUAGGACUUCCAAAACAACCAGGAUGUUGGCUCAGAAGCAGCCACCAUUCAAAGAGUGCGUAAUAGCUCACUGGUCGAGAGGCCCUGCGCCGAAAAUAUCCGGGGCUCAAGUACAGAACCGAAGUCGCGGGAUGCGCAAGCAUCGGUAGGGGAGCGUUCCAAGCAGGUUGAAGGCAGACCGGAAGGACGGCUGGACAGCUUGGAAGUGAGAAUGCUGGUAUGAGUAGCGAAACGAUCCGUGAGAAUCGGAUCCACCGAAAGCCUAAGGGAUCCUGAGCAACGCUCGUCGUCUCAGGGUAAGUCGGGACCUAAGCCGAGGCAUAAAGCAUAGGCGAUGGACAACAGGCGAAAAUUCCUGUACUGCAUGAUGUUGUUUGAGGAUGGAGUGACACAGCAAGGAGCUUGAGCGCGCGAUUGGAAAUGCGCGUCGAAGGCGGUAGGCUGGUGCAGAGGCAAAUCCCUGUACUAAGGCCGAGAACUGAUAGAUAGGAGCGUACUUCGGUACAAUCCAAAUUCAAGCGUACUACACUGUCGAGAAAAGCUUCUAACGAGACAUCAUGUACCCGUACCAAAACCGACACAGGUAGGCGGGGAGAGAAUCCUAAGGUGCGCGGGAAAACCCUCGUUAAGGAACUCGGCAAAAUGCAUCCGUAACUUCGGGAGAAGGAUGGCCGGAGCUGGUGAAGACCUUCGCGGUUGGAGCUGGAGCCGGCGGCAGAAGAGAAGCCCAAGCGACUGUUUACCACAAACACAGGUGCCUGCUAAAGAGAAAUCUGACGUAUAGGUGCUGACACCUGCCCGGUGCUGGAAGGUUAAGAGGAGAGGUCAUUCGCAAGAAGAAGCUUUGAAUUGAAGCCCCAGUAAACGGCGGCCGUAACUAUAACGGUCCUAAGGUAGCGAAAUUCCUUGUCGGGUAAGUUC